GCAUAGACGAUGCCACGGAAGACUGUGGCCUUGAACCAUUGCCUGGCCUCUGCCCAUAGGCUGCAGGCCCUGAAGUGAAUUACACUGUA
rnacentral:snoRNA from 1 species